GACGAACGCUGGCGGCGUGCUUAACACAUGCAAGUCGAACGGAAAGGCCCUGCUUUUGUGGGGUGCUCGAGUGGCGAACGGGUGAGUAACACGUGAGUAACCUGCCCUUGACUUUGGGAUAACUUCAGGAAACUGGGGCUAAUACCGGAUAGGAGCUCCUGCUGCAUGGUGGGGGUUGGAAAGUUUCGGCGGUUGGGGAUGGACUCGCGGCUUAUCAGCUUGUUGGUGGGGUAGUGGCUUACCAAGGCUUUGACGGGUAGCCGGCCUGAGAGGGUGACCGGCCACAUUGGGACUGAGAUGCGGCCCAGACUCCUUCCGGAGGCCGCAGUUGGGAAUAUUGGACAAUGGGCGGAAGCCCGAUGCAGCAACGCCGGGUGCGGGAAGACGGCCUUCGGGUUGUAAACCCCUUUCGCCUGUUACCAAGCGUGAGUGACGGUAAUGGGUAAAGAAGCACCGGCUAACUACGUG
rnacentral:rRNA from 1 species